AUGAACGCUAGCUACAGGCUUAACACAUGCAAGUCGAGGGGCAUCAUUUCAGUUUGCUUGCAAACUGGAGAUGGCGACCGGCGCACGGGUGAGUAACACGUAUCCAACCUGCCGAUAACUCGGGGAUAGCCUUUCGAAAGAAAGAUUAAUACCCGAUGGUAUAAUCAGACCGCAUGGUCUUGUUAUUAAAGAAUUUCGGUUAUCGAUGGGGAUGCGUUCCAUUAGGCAGUUGGUGAGGUAACGGCUCACCAAACCUUCGAUGGAUAGGGGUUCUGAGAGGAAGGUCCCCCACAUUGGAACUGAGACACGGUCCAAACUCCUACGGGAGGCAGCAGUGAGGAAUAUUGGUCAAUGGGCGCAGGCCUGAACCAGCCAAGUAGCGUGAAGGAUGACUGCCCUAUGGGUUGUAAACUUCUUUUAUAUGGGAAUAAAGUUUUCCACGUGUGGAAUUUUGUAUGUACCAUAUGAAUAAGGAUCGGCUAACUCCGUGCCAGCAGCCGCGGUAAUACGGAGGAUCCGAGCGUUAUCCGGAUUUAUUGGGUUUAAAGGGAGCGUAGGUGGACAGUUAAGUCAGUUGUGAAAGUUUGCGGCUCAACCGUAAAAUUGCAGUUGAUACUGGCUGUCUUGAGUACAGUAGAGGUGGGCGGAAUUCGUGGUGUAGCGGUGAAAUGCUUAGAUAUCACGAAGAACUCCGAUUGCGAAGGCAGCUCACUGGACUGCAACUGACACUGAUGCUCGAAAGUGUGGGUAUCAAACAGGAUUAGAUACCCUGGUAGUCCACACAGUAAACGAUGAAUACUCGCUGUUUGCGAUAUACAGUAAGCGGCCAAGCGAAAGCAUUAAGUAUUCCACCUGGGGAGUACGCCGGCAACGGUGAAACUCAAAGGAAUUGACGGGGGCCCGCACAAGCGGAGGAACAUGUGGUUUAAUUCGAUGAUACACGAGGAACCUUACCCGGGCUUAAAUUGCAUUUGAAUAUAUUGGAAACAGUAUAGCCGUAAGGCAAAUGUGAAGGUGCUGCAUGGUUGUCGUCAGCUCGUGCCGUGAGGUGUCGGCUUAAGUGCCAUAACGAGCGCAACCCUUAUCUUUAGUUACUAACAGGUCAUGCUGAGGACUCUAGAGAGACUGCCGUCGUAAGAUGUGAGGAAGGUGGGGAUGACGUCAAAUCAGCACGGCCCUUACGUCCGGGGCUACACACGUGUUACAAUGGGGGGUACAGAAGGCAGCUACCUGGUGACAGGAUGCUAAUCCCAAAAGCCUCUCUCAGUUCGGAUCGGAGUCUGCAACCCGACUUCGUGAAGCUGGAUUCGCUAGUAAUCGCGCAUCAGCCAUGGCGCGGUGAAUACGUUCCCGGGCCUUGUACACACCGCCCGUCAAGCCAUGAAAGCCGGGGGUACCUGAAGUACGUAACCGCAAGGAGCGUCCUAGGGUAAAACUGGUAAUUGGGGCU
rnacentral:rRNA from 1 species